rnacentral:rRNA from 1 species
UACGUAGGGUGCAAGCGUUGUCCGGAAUUAUUGGGCGUAAAGAGCUUGUAGGCGGUUUGUCGCGUCUGCUGUGAAAUUUCGGGGCUCAACCCCGAACUUGCAGUGGGUACGGGCAGACUAGAGUGUGGUAGGGGAGACUGGAAUUCCUGGUGUAGCGGUGAAAUGCGCAGAUAUCAGGAGGAACACCAGUGGCGAAGGCGGCUCACUGGCCCGAUACUGACGCUGAGGCACGAAAGCGUGGGGAGCAAACAGG